UCUAUAGCUCAGAUGGCAGAGCAUUCGCCUUGUAAGCGAAAGGUCAGCGGUUCGAUUCCGCUUGG
rnacentral:tRNA from 1 species